rnacentral:rRNA from 1 species
GAUGAACGCUGGCGGCGUGCCUAAUACAUGCAAGUCGAGCGAACGGACGAGAAGCUUGCUUCUCUGAUGUUAGCGGCGGACGGGUGAGUAACACGUGGAUAACCUACCUAUAAGACUGGGAUAACUUCGGGAAACCGGAGCUAAUACCGGAUAAUAUUUUGAACCGCAUGGUUCAAAAGUGAAAGACGGUCUUGCUGUCACUUAUAGAUGGAUCCGCGCUGCAUUAGCUAGUUGGUAAGGUAACGGCUUACCAAGGCAACGAUGCAUAGCCGACCUGAGAGGGUGAUCGGCCACACUGGAACUGAGACACGGUCCAGACUCCUACGGGAGGCAGCAGUAGGGAAUCUUCCGCAAUGGGCGAAAGCCUGACGGAGCAACGCCGCGUGAGUGAUGAAGGUCUUCGGAUCGUAAAACUCUGUUAUUAGGGAAGAACAUAUGUGUAAGUAACUGUGCACAUCUUGACGGUACCUAAUCAGAAAGCCACGGCUAACUACGUGCCAGCAGCCGCGGUAAUACGUAGGUGGCAAGCGUUAUCCGGAAUUAUUGGGCGUAAAGCGCGCGUAGGCGGUUUUUUAAGUCUGAUGUGAAAGCCCACGGCUCAACCGUGGAGGGUCAUUGGAAACUGGAAAACUUGAGUGCAGAAGAGGAAAGUGGAAUUCCAUGUGUAGCGGUGAAAUGCGCAGAGAUAUGGAGGAACACCAGUGGCGAAGGCGACUUUCUGGUCUGUAACUGACGCUGAUGUGCGAAAGCGUGGGGAUCAAACAGGAUUAGAUACCCUGGUAGUCCACGCCGUAAACGAUGAGUGCUAAGUGUUAGGGGGUUUCCGCCCCUUAGUGCUGCAGCUAACGCAUUAAGCACUCCGCCUGGGGAGUACGACCGCAGGGUUGAAACUCAAAGGAAUUGACGGGGACCCGCACAAGCGGUGGAGCAUGUGGUUUAAUUCGAAGCAACGCGAAGAACCUUACCAAAUCUUGACAUCCUUUGACAACUCUAGAGAUAGAGCCUUCCCCUUCGGGGGGGCAAAGUGACAGGUGGUGCAUGGUUGUCGUCAGCUCGUGUCGUGAGAUGUUGGGUUAAGUCCCGCAACGAGCGCAACCCUUAAGCUUAGUUGCCAUCAUUAAGUUGGGCACUCUAAGUUGACUGCCGGUGACAAACCGGAGGAAGGUGGGGAUGACGUCAAAUCAUCAUGCCCCUUAUGAUUUGGGCUACACACGUGCUACAAUGGACAAUACAAAGGGCAGCGAAACCGCGAGGUCAAGCAAAUCCCAUAAAGUUGUUCUCAGUUCGGAUUGUAGUCUGCAACUCGACUACAUGAAGCUGGAAUCGCUAGUAAUCGUAGAUCAGCAUGCUACGGUGAAUACGUUCCCGGGUCU